rnacentral:rRNA from 1 species
GAUGAACGCUGGCGGCGUGCCUAAUACAUGCAAGUCGAGCGAACAGACGAGGAGCUUGCUCCUCUAACGUUAGCGGCGGACGGGUGAGUAACACGUGGAUAACCUACCUAUAAGACUGGGAUAACUUCGGGAAACCGGAGCUAAUACCGGAUAAUAUAUUGAACCGCAUGGUUCAAUAGUGAAAGACGGUUUUGCUGUCACUUAUAGAUGAAUCCGCGCCGCAUUAGCUAGUUGGUAAGGUAACAGCUUACCAAGGCAACGAUGCGUAGCCGACCUGAGAGGGUGAUCGGCCACACUGGAACUGAGACACGGUCCAGACUCCUACGGGAGGCAGCAGUAGGGAAUCUUCCGCAAUGGGCGAAAGCCUGACGGAGCAACGCCGCGUGAGUGAUGAAGGUCUUCGGAUCGUAAAACUCUGUUAUUAGGGAAGAACAAAUGUGUAAGUAACUAUGCACGUCUUGACGGUACCUAAUCAGAAAGCCACGGCUAACUACGUG